GUUUCAUUUAGAAUCGUCCCAGUGAACAAGCACCGAACCAGCGUGCGUGAGUGCAGAGUUGGAUCGUGAGUCGUGCAUUGCAUGACGUGCAAUUUUGUGCUGUUCCUAUCAGAAUAAAGCUCCACGACUGGUGUUACAAGUUGGAGUUUGUGUCGGUUAUUGAUUGUACACAACGCAAGAAGAGUACUGUUACAGUGGUGCCGUGACCGUUCUUCUGGAUCAGAUCUUCCUUCGCUGGAUUUCCAUCUCAGAACUUCGCCGUGGUUGCCGUUGAAGAAUAAGAUAAGAAGGCAAUAUCGCAUUUCGCCAGAAGAGGGCCCUACUGCGACGUUUUACUAUCGAAAUGGAUGAUUUCUCUGGUUGAGACUUUCUCUACUUGUUUAUUUGCAAUUCUAACGUAUAUCUGAUAUAAGUAGGGUGAGUUUUACCAGUGUACUAGAUAUAGGUUAGAUUUUGACUUGAGGUAAAAAAAUAUAUAUUUUGCCAUUGACAUUUUUAUUAGUCUGUUGAUUUCCCAUUAUUAACAUGGAAGGUGUUGGGAGAGGUAGGGGUUUCCUGACAUUUCAUCUGUCACCAUCUGUUGGUAGGGGUUCAGCCAAAAUUCCAGUUGCUUCUACACCUAUGCCUAAACUGGAGGGUUUUGGGAGUUUUGAUGAUAGUUUACCUAUGGAAAUGCCCAAGGAUGUGUAUGAAAGAGUUUUGCCAAAUACAGGGAGUGGGGAGGUCUCCAUGGAUUUCAUAACAGACAUAGUACAGCAGAUUGGUCAUUCCAUUGGGGAGAACAUUGCCUCCUGUUUGGAGUCAAAGGCAAUUGUUGGACAUGUUGCGGACAAUGUUAUGGGGAAUGCAUGCAGCUCUAGGGGUAUGGAUGUGUCAGGCCUGAACCUGGUAUUGCCACUUUAAUGUUUAGCCAAUGUGUGUUUGGUUUUAUUUUUGUCUUGCCUUCACCUACUCAACAUGGCAUCUUAUUGGCUGGUUUGCGUAGCUUGCUUACGAGGGAGGAUGUUUCAGUUAGAAUCGUCCCAGUGAACAAGCACCAAACCAGCGGUAAGUUGUUGGUUGCAAAGCACUGUAUGUCAACAGUGAUUUUUUUCUUACAAAUGAUGAUUUAAAUGUACAAUUUAUAUCAAUUUGUUUGUAAAUGUUAUUCGAACAUCACACAUAAGAUGCAGCGGUUUUUGGUGAAUAUUUGUUGUGCAUUUUGUUGUAGAGAAUUCCAGCUAAUACUAGCUAGCAACUUACUGUGUCUGGUGGGGGGGGUUGUAUAUUUUGUACAGUGCGUGUGUGCAGAGUUGGAUGGUGAGCUGUGCAUUGCAUGAAGUGCAAUUUUGUGCUGUUCCUAUCAGAAUAAAGCUCCAUGACUGGUGUUACAA